rnacentral:rRNA from 1 species
AUUGAACGCUGGCGGCAGGCCUAACACAUGCAAGUCGAACGAGUGGCGGACGGGUGAGUAAUGUCUGGGAAACUGCCUGAUGGAGGGGGAUAACUACUGGAACCGGUAGCUAAUACCGCAUACCAUCGGAUGUGCCCAGCUGGGAUUAGCUAGUAGGUGGGGUAACGGCUCACCUAGGCGACGAUCCCUAGCUGGUCUGAGAGGAUGACCGACCCCACUGGAGCUGACACACGGUCCCGACUCCUACGGGAGGCAGCAGUGGGGAAUAUUGGACAAUGGGCUCAAGCCUGAUACAGCGAUGCCGCGUGUAUGAAGAAUGCCUUCGGGUUGUAAAGUACUUUCAGCGGGGAGGCGUUACCCGCAGAAGAAGCACCGGCUAACUCCGUGACAGCAGCCGCGGUAAUUC